GGUUUUAGACUGACCGCAUUCGCCACCCCAGUGUCAAUUUUGUUUGUGUUGCUUGGUUUGAGGCCAGACAGAAGAGGUCAUUAAUUUUAAACAAAGGACCAAGCGCACGCUUCAGGACAUUCAUCCCGGGUCAGACAAAGCCGCGUCUCGCUUUCCAGACGAAAGAGUGAAAGUAGCUUGCCUUGUUGCUUCUUAGCUUCCGAGCCGAUCGGACAUGAAUAAGCGCAACCAUAUCCGCCUGCCGCCGGAGGUGAAUCGGCUGCUGUAUGUGCGAAACCUGCCGUACAAAAUCACCUCCGAUGAGAUGUACGAUAUUUUUGGCAAAUUUGGGGCCAUCCGCCAGAUUCGAGUAGGCAACACUCCAGAGACCCGCGGCACCGCCUUUGUUGUCUACGAGGACAUAUUUGACGCCAAAAACGCCUGCGACCAUUUGUCUGGGUUCAACGUGUGCAACCGCUACCUGGUGGUGCUCUAUUACCAGUCGAACAAGGCCUUCAAGCGCGUGGACAUGGACAAGAAGCAGGAGGAGCUCAACAACAUCAAGGCAAAGUACAACCUGAAGACACCCGAGGCCCCCUAAAACCAUCAUCAUCCUCUCCAGCGGCGGGCGGAUGACAUCUGCCCCAUAAGACACUUUCCACUAUUUUUUUGAUCGCAUUUUAUAUCGUUUGAAACUAUUCAUUAUCAUCCAUCUAUCAUAUGAACCGCCGGCAUCGGCAGUUUGCAAUCAUUUGACGACAUAACGCCACUCUCUCAUCAAAAUAACAAGCAAGUAAAAGUAAAAAAUAAAAAAAAU
rnacentral:misc_RNA from 1 species